CGCCUCUUGAAUUUAUUAGAGGUCCAGCCUGCCCAGUGACUCCUGUUUAACGGCCGCGGUAUCCUAACCGUGCGAAGGUAGCGUAAUCACUUGUCUUCUAAAUAAAGACUAGUAUGAAAGGCAUCACGAGGGUUUAACUGUCUCCUCUCUCUAAUCAGUGAACCUAAUCUCCCCGUGAAAAAGCGGGGAUUUUUAUAUAAGACGAGAAGACCCUAUGGAGCUUAAAACAUUUUUUACACGUACUUCCCACCCCCAACCACCCAGGUACUCAAAUUCUACCCGUACGAUGAUUUUCAUGUUUUUGGUUGGGGUGACCGCGGAGAAUACCCCAUCCUCCGUAGUGAAAGGAGCUACUCCUUAACAACAAGCCACAACUUUAUGUAUUAAUAUAUUAACACCCAUUGACCCAAUAAAUUGAUUAAUGAACCAAGUUACCCUAGGGAUAACAGCGCAAUCCACUUCUAGAGCCCCUAUCGACAAGUGGGCUUACGACCUCGAUGUUGGAUCGGGGUAUCCUGGUGGUGCAGCCGCUACUUAGGU
rnacentral:rRNA from 1 species